AUUGAACGCUGGCGGCAUGCCUUACACAUGCAAGUCGAACGGUAACAGGUCUUCGGAUGCUGACGAGUGGCGAACGGGUGAGUAAUACAUCGGAACGUGCCUAGUAGUGGGGGAUAACUACUCGAAAGAGUGGCUAAUACCGCAUGAGAUCUACGGAUGAAAGCAGGGGAUCGCAAGACCUUGUGCUACUAGAGCGGCCGAUGGCAGAUUAGGUAGUUGGUGGGAUAAAAGCUUACCAAGCCGACGAUCUGUAGCUGGUCUGAGAGGACGAUCAGCCACACUGGGACUGAGACACGGCCCAGACACCUACGAGAGGCAGCAGUGGGGAAUUUUGGACAAGGGGCGAAAGCCUGAUCCAGCAAUGCCGCGUGCAGGAUGAAGGCCUUCGGGUUGUAAACUGCUUUUGUACGGAACGAAAAGCCCCGGGUUAAUACCCUGGGGUCAUGACGGUACCGUAAGAAUAAGCACCGGCUAACUACGUGCCAGCCGCCGCCGUAA
rnacentral:rRNA from 1 species